rnacentral:rRNA from 1 species
CCGGGAGGCAGCAGUGGGGAAUUUUCCGCAAUGGGCGAAAGCCUGACGGAGCAAUACCGCGUGAGGGAUGACGGCCUAUGGGUUGUAAACCUCUUUUUUCAGGGAGGAAUAAAAUGACGUGUACCUGAAGAAUAAGCAUCGGCUAACUCCGUGCCAGCAGCCGCGGUAAGACGGAGGAUGCAAGUGUUAUCCGGAAUCACUGGGCGUAAAGCGUCUGUAGGUGGUCCAAUAAGUCAACUGUUAAAUCUUGAGGCUCAACCUCAAAAUCGCAGUCGAAACUAUUAGACUAGAGUAUAGUAGGGGUAAAGGGAAUUUCCAGUGGAGCGGUGAAAUGCGUAGAGAUUGGAAAGAACACCGAUGGCGAAGGCACUUUACUGGGCUAUUACUAACACUCAGAGACGAAAGCUAGGGUAGCAAAUGGGAUUAGAUACCCCAGUAGUCCUAGCCCUAACCAAUGGAUACUAGAUGUGAACAGAUCGACCUGUGCAGUAU